rnacentral:lncRNA from 1 species
UAAAGGUUUUGCUUUCUGCAGAGAAAGAAUAGAGAUUUUCCUGGAAUCAGGAGAGUUUUAUGUUUAAGCCCCUUGACACAAGGGAAUUGAGCCCCCAAACUUUCAUGUUCUAGGUUGGUAUUUGGAAGGAUAAGCUCUUCAGAAGAGAUGCUGCUGGUAUUUCUUCCUUAGGAAGCAUCCCCAAGGGCUCCAUGGGACCGCAGAACAACUCAGGAUGAAGGAGACCUUGGGCUUAGCACCUUGUCCAUCCUCCGGAUAAUCCUUCACCAAAAUGCCACGUAGGAGUCCCACCACUGCUGUCUGUUCUUUUCACUGUACAGAGAGUGGUGGGAUCAGGACAUUGCAGUAGAAUGUUUGUACAGUUUUACUACUGAAGGAGAAAAAAAGAAGUCUGGCUGGCACUCUUACACGCCAGGACAGAUCAGGCAUGACCCAGUGCUCCAAGGAGUCAUUUCUUUCCUCCUCAAGGCAACUGCACAGCACAUCUUUCUGGAAGGUCUACAGAUAAUCACCCCUCACUGUUACCCACUAUGAACGAUUCCAUAUUCUCUAUGUGUACAUUUAAUACAUCCCUUUAAAUUGAUGCAGAAUGCUGGGGAUCCCCACUCUUUUUCUCUUAGCUCUUUAACGUGACUGAUGAACAGUUGGCUAAUCCCUUCCCUCAGUAUGAGGCAGGAAAAGGAGCUGCUGACACUAACAAGGAAAAAAGGAAGGUGGUUAUUCCUGGAGAAGACGCCUCUCUCCUUAAUAGCCUGACACAGUGAGGUGGCUGCCUGCAGAUUGGGAAACAGUUUCCAAAGCUCAUCAUCACCCAAGUGAGGUGGUUGCCACAGCAGGUCAGUCCCAGCACUUCCAGCCCUGCUGACCAGCGACUGAGUCAGGCUCUCCUGGCCCUGGUCACACCACUCUGCCUCGUGUUCAUGACAGCAAUCUUCAGCUGCUCAUGGUAAGACGACAUAAAACAUACCCUAGUUUCUCAUUUUAGGACAAUGCAAAACAUGCCCUCGUUUCUCUUGUGUGGCCUUUGCCUGAAUUACUCAGUUCAGCAUUGCUUGCCUUAGUCCUGAGCACAUCCCUCUGGCCCUUGCUCCCUGAUGAAUCUCUCCCACCACCUCUUUCCCAGUGACCAAGCUGAACUCAUAGAAUCAUAGAAUUGUUUGAGCUGGAAGGGACCAUUAAAAGUCAUCUAGUCCAACUGCAACGAACAGGGACACCUACGGC